rnacentral:rRNA from 1 species
GAUCCUGGCUCAGAAUCAACGCUGGCGGCGUGCCUAACACAUGCAAGUCGAACGAGAAAGUGGUAGCAAUACCAUGAGUAAAGUGGCGCACGGGUGAGUAACACGUGACUAACCUACCCUGGAGUGGGGGAUAACUGAGGGAAACCUUAGCUAAUACCGCAUAAUACCCACGGGUCAAAGGAGCAAUUCGCUCUAGGAGGGGGUCGCGGCCGAUUAGUUAGUUGGCGGGGUAACGGCCCACCAAGACUGUGAUCGGUAUCCGGCCUGAGAGGGCGCACGGACACACUGGAACUGAAACACGGUCCAGACUCCUACGGGAGGCA